UCAAGUUACUGGUCUUUGGCUGCAUGUUUUGAAUAAAGGAACAUUUUUUAUGUUUUAGAUAUUUUUAUUAUGUGUACAACGUAGACUGGGGAAAACUUUACUAAUUACUCUACUGAUUUAUAUUUGGAUGCUAGUUUAGGUGUGUUGUACAGGGAUGUUAUAAUUUUGUUUCUUAAGAUUAAAAUCUUUGAAGACUACACAAUGGUUCGUAAUUAAUAUUUAAAUCUAUAUAGUAAUAAUUAUUUUCUUAAUUUUCAGAGCUUGUUUUGUGGAACGAGACAUGUAGAUUAAUAUAAGGCUAUUUUUCUUCAUUUGCAGGAUCUGUUUUGUGGAAUGAGAUAUGCAUUGGAAAUAUCAAUGCAGAUUUCAAUCACAUCACAAUCAGAAGCCUCAAUCAAGAAUUCUUCUCAGCGCUUUAUCAGCUUGCAGCUUGAUUUCUGGAAAUUUGUGCAACAAAGAAAGUGGCAGUUGAAAAGAGAGUUUCUUGCGCUAAUUAAAUCUAUGCACUGUCAUCACUGCUAAGUGCACAGUUCUUCAUGGCCUUCCUCUUAUUCUUGGAGAAGAAACCUGACUUUUUUAAACAGUGCUGACAGGUAACUUUCUCUGUAUAUUUCAUUAAAAACUAUGAUUCCCCACACAUACAUUACAUAUAGGCAUUCAAUAUGCUUCAUUUAACUCUCUUAUCUUGGAUCAGACAUUCAAACUCUGCAUUUGUUUCAUUUCUUUUUUUCUUUUCUUUUUUUUUAUCCAGCAUUUUGUUAAAUGCAAGUUCUGUCAUCAUUAUACAGUUAUUUUUUUUAUUUUUAUUUUGUCUAUCUUCCAGACAAUACUUUAAAGGGUUAGUUCACCCAAAAAUGAAGUUUCUGUCAUUAAUUACUCAGCUUCAUGUCGUUCCACACCCAUAAGACCUUCGUUCAUCUUCAGAACACAAAUUAAGAUAUUUUUGAUGAAAUAUGAGAGGUAUAUGACUCGUCCACAGACAGCAAUAUAAUCAUCACUUUCAAGGUCCAGAAAGGUACUAAAGACAUUGUUAAAAUAGUCCAUGCGACUGCAGUGUUUCAACCUUAAUGUUAUAAAGCAGCAAGAAUACUUUUUGUGCACAAAAACAAAACAAAAAUAAUGACUUUAUUUAAC